rnacentral:rRNA from 1 species
AGUGAACGCUGGCGGCAGGCCUAACACAUGCAAGUCGAACGGCAGCACAAGAGAGCUUGCUCUCUGGGUGGCGAGUGGCGGACGGGUGAGGAAUGCAUAGGCAUCUGCCCAUUUGUGGGGGAUAACCUCGGGAAAGCGGGACUAAUACCGCAUACGACCUACGGGUGAAAGCAGGGGAUCUUCGGACCUUGCGCAGAUGGAUGAGCCGAUGCCGGAUUAGCUAGUUGGAGGGGGAAAGGCCCACCAAGGCGACGAUCCGUAGCUGGUCUGAGAGGAUGAUCGGCCACACUGGGACUGAGACACGGCCCAGACUCCUACGGGAGGCAGCAGUGGGGAAUAUUGGACAAUGGGCGCAAGCCUGAUCCAGCCAUGCCGCGUGUGUGAAGAAGGCCUUCGGGUUGUAAAGCACUUUUGUUGGGAAAGAAAAGCAGCCGGUUAAUACCCGGUUGUCAUGACGGUACCCAAAGAAUAAGCACCGGCUAACUUCGUG